rnacentral:rRNA from 1 species
AGGGUAUUCGUGCGUGGAUGGCAGCUCAGGAUCAGCCUCAUGAAAAUAUUAUAUUCCCUUAGCAGGUUCUACCACGUGGAAACGCUCUUUAAUGGAACUUUCGUUUUAGCUGGUCGUGACCAAGAAACCACCGGCUUUACUUGGUGGGCUGGGAAUGCCAGACUUAUCAAUUUUUCCGGUAAACUACUUGGAGCUCACGUAGCCCAUGCCGGAUUAAUCGUAUUCUGGGCCGGAGCAAUGAACCUAUUUGAAGUGGCCCAUUUCGUACCAGAAAAGUCCAUGUAUGAACAAGGCUUUAUUUUACUUCCACACUUAGCUACUCUAGGUUGGGGAGUAGGGCCAGGGGGAGAAGUUCUAGAUACUUUUCCGUACUUUGUAUCUGGAGUACUUCACCUAAUUUCCUCCGCUGUCUUCUCCCUAAGUUUUGCUAAACCGGCAACGUAA